GGUUAAGCGAAUAAGCGUACACGGUGGAUGCCUAGGCAAUCAGAGGCGAUGAAGGACGUGCUAAUCUGCGAAAAGCGUCGGUAAGGUGAUAUGAACCGUUAUACCCGACGAUAUCCGAAUGGGGAAACCCAGUAUCCAAUGGAUACUAUCAUUAACUGAAUCCAUAGGUUAAUGAGGCGAACCGGGAGAACUGAAACAUCUCAGUACCCCGAGGAAAAGAAAUCAACCGAGAUUCCCCUAGUAGCGGCGAGCGAACGGGGAGCAGCCCAGAGUCUUAAUCAAUAGCAGUGUCAGGAGAACGGUCUGGAAAGUCCGGCAGUAAAGGGUGAUAGCCCCGUAUCUGAAGAUGCUGUUGUUGUGAACUCGACGAGUAGGGCGGGACACGUGUUAUCCUGUCUGAAUAUGGGGGGACCAUCCUCCAAGGCUAAAUACUCCUGAUUGACCGAUAGUGAACCAGUACCGUGAGGGAAAGGCGAAAAGAACCCCGGCGAGGGGAGUGAAAAAGAACCUGAAACCGUGUACGUACAAGCAGUAGGAGCCUCUUUAUGGGGUGACUGCGUACCUUUUGUAUAAUGGGUCAGCGACUUAUAUUCUGUAGCAAGGUUAACCGUAUAGGGGAGCCGUAGGGAAACCGAGUCUUAACUGGGCGAAUGAGUUGCAGGGUAUAGACCCGAAACCCGGUGAUCUAUCCAUGGGCAGGUUGAAGGUUGGGUAACACUAACUGGAGGACCGAACCGACUAAUGUUGAAAAAUUAGCGGAUGACUUGUGGAUGGGGGUGAAAGGCCAAUCAAACCGGGAGAUAGCUGGUUCUCCCCGAAAGCUAUUUAGGUAGCGCCUCGUGAACUCAUCUUCGGGGGUAGAGCACUGUUUCGACUAGGGGGUCAUCCCGACUUACCAACUCGAUGCAAACUGCGAAUACCGAAGAAUGUUAUCACGGGAGACACACGGCGGGUGCUAACGUCCGUCGUGAAGAGGGAAACAACCCAGACCGCCAGCUAAGGUCCCAAAGUCAUGGUUAAGUGGGAAACGAAGUGGGAAGGCUCAGACAGCCAGGAUGUUGGCUUAGAAGCAGCCAUCAUUUAAAGAAAGCGUAAUAGCUCACUGGUCGAGUCGGCCCGCGCGGAAGAUGUAACGGGGCUAAACCAUGCACCGAAGCUGCGGCAGCGACACAAAGUGUUGUUGGGUAGGGGAGCGUUCUGUAAGCCUGCGAAGGUGUACUGUGAGGUAUGCUGGAGGUAUCAGAAGUGCGAAUGCUGACAUAAGUAACGAUAAUGCGGGUGAAAAACCCGCACGCCGGAAGACCAAGGGUUCCUGUCCAACGUUAAUCGGGGCAGGGUGAGUCGACCCCUAAGGCGAGGCUGAAAAGCGUAGUCGAUGGGAAACGGGUUAAUAUUCCCGUACUGGUGGUAACUGCGAUGGGGGAACGGAGAAGGCUAGGUUGUCCGGGCGACGGUCGUCCCGGUUCAAGCAGGUAGGCAGAGUGAUUAGGCAAAUCCGGUCACUUAAUGCUGAGAUGUGAUGACGAACCACUAAGGUGGUGAAGCAAUUGAUGCCCCGCUUCCAGGAAAAGCCUCUAAGCUUCAGGUUACCAACAAUCGUACCCCAAACCGACACAGGUGGUCAGGUAGAGAAUACUCAGGCGCUUGAGAGAACUCGGGUGAAGGAACUAGGCAAAAUGGUGCCGUAACUUCGGGAGAAGGCACGCUGGCGGUAGGUAAAGUCCCUUGCGGACGGCGCUGAAGCCAGUCGAAGAUACCAGCUGGCUGCAACUGUUUAUUAAAAACACAGCACUGUGCAAACACGAAAGUGGACGUAUACGGUGUGACGCCUGCCCGGUGCUGGAAGGUUAAUUGAUGGGGUUAGCGUAAGCGAAGCUCCUGAUCGAAGCCCCAGUAAACGGCGGCCGUAACUAUAACGGUCCUAAGGUAGCGAAAUUCCUUGUCGGGUAAGUUCCGACCUGCACGAAUGGCGUAAUGAUGGCCAGGCUGUCUCCACCCGAGACUCAGUGAAAUUGAACUCGCUGUGAAGAUGCAGUGUACCCGCGGCAAGACGGAAAGACCCCGUGAACCUUUACUAUAGCUUGACACUGAACAUUGAGCCUUGAUGUGUAGGAUAGGUGGGAGGCUUUGAAGUGUGGACGCCAGUCUGCAUGGAGCCAACCUUGAAAUACCACCCUUUAACGUUUGAUGUUCUAACCUAGGCCCAUAAACUGGGUCGGGGACCGUGUCUGGUGGGUAGUUUGACUGGGGCGGUCUCCUCCUAAAGAGUAACGGAGGAGCACGAAGGUUGGCUAAGCAUGGUCGGACAUCAUGCGGUUAGUGCAAAGGCAUAAGCCAGCUUGACUGCGAGAGUGACGGCUCGAGCAGGUACGAAAGUAGGUCUUAGUGAUCCGGUGGUUCUGAAUGGAAGGGCCAUCGCUCAACGGAUAAAAGGUACUCCGGGGAUAACAGGCUGAUACCGCCCAAGAGUUCAUAUCGACGGCGGUGUUUGGCACCUCGAUGUCGGCUCAUCACAUCCUGGGGCUGAAGUAGGUCCCAAGGGUAUGGCUGUUCGCCAUUUAAAGUGGUACGCGAGCUGGGUUUAGAACGUCGUGAGACAGUUCGGUCCCUAUCUGCCGUGGGCGUUGGAAGAUUGAGAGGGGUUGCUCCUAGUACGAGAGGACCGGAGUGAACGCACCACUGGUGUUCGGGUUGUCAUGCCAAUGGCAUUGCCCGGUAGCUAAGUGCGGAAGAGAUAACCGCUGAAAGCAUCUAAGCGGGAAACUUGCCUCGAGAUGAGUCUUCCCUGUCGCUUUAAGCGACCUAAAGGAACGUUUAAGACUAAGACGUUGAUAGGCUGGGUGUGUAAGCGUAGCGAUACGUUGAGCUAACCAGUACUAAUGAACCGUGAGGCUUAACCUG
rnacentral:rRNA from 1 species